AGUGAACGCUGGCGGCGUGCUUAACACAUGCAAGUCGAACGAACAUCUUUUAGAUGUGAAGUGGCGAACGGGUGCAUAACGCGUAAGAACCUACCUUUUGGAGAGGGAUAACAUUGGGAAACUGAUGCUAAUACCUCAUAAAUAGCUGAGGAGUGAAAGGUGAAAACCGCCAGAAGAGGGGCUUGCGUCUGAUUAGCUAGUUGGUGAGGUAAAGGCUUACCAAGGUCACGAUAAGUAGCUGGUCUGAGAGGAUGAUCAGCCACACUGGGACUGAGACACGGCCCAGACUCCUACGGGAGGCAGCAGGGAGGAAAUUUCCGCAAUGGGCGAAAGCCUGACGGAGCAAGGCCGCGUGAAGGAAGAAGGGCCGUGGCUCGUAAACUUCUUUUAUCAGAGAAGAAUAAAUGACGGUAUCUGAUGAAUAAGCUCCGGCUAACUCUGUGCCAGCAGCCGCAGUAA
rnacentral:rRNA from 1 species